rnacentral:rRNA from 1 species
UACGUAGGGUGCGAGCGUUGUCCGGAAUUAUUGGGCGUAAAGAGCUUGUAGGCGGUUUGUCGCGUCUGCCGUGAAAUUUCGAGGCUCAACCUCGAACUUGCGGUGGGUACGGGCAGACUAGAGUGUGGUAGGGGAGACUGGAAUUCCUGGUGUAGCGGUGAAAUGCGCAGAUAUCAGGAGGAACGCCGAUGGCGAAGGCAGGUCUCUGGGCCACUACUGACGCUGAGAAGCGAAAGCAUGGGGAGCGAACAGG